rnacentral:lncRNA from 1 species
UUAUUAUCCAAAUGGCUUAUUACUGAAGUAAUGAAAGAAAGCUUUUAUACAGUCAUAUCAAUGGUAGUUCUGGGUUAUAGUCUCAGAGACAUCAUUACUAUGAGGAUAUAGAGAAUUUAGGAAAAUUUUAAAAAUUAUUUAAACAAAAUUUGAAAAACAUUGUAGGCAUGUAUUACCACAUACAAUUAUAUCUGCCUACCUAUGUAUUUAAUCACUAUCUUUUAGAAAACACACAACAAAAGUUCAGUUUGCCGUAGUUCAUUAUAGAGUUAAUAGGAGCUUGGAGAUUUGAUCUAAUAACAUGCACUUCAUAGUAG